AGAGUUUGAUCCUGGCUCAGAUUGAACGCUGGCGGCAGGCCUAACACAUGCAAGUCGAGCGGAUGAUGGGAGCUUGCUCCCGGAUUCAGCGGCGGACGGGUGAGUAAUGCCUAGGAAUCUGCCUGGUAGUGGGGGACAACGUUUCGAAAGGAACGCUAAUACCGCAUACGUCCUACGGGAGAAAGCAGGGGACCUUCGGGCCUUGCGCUAUCAGAUGAGCCUAGGUCGGAUUAGCUAGUUGGUGGGGUAAAGGCCUACCAAGGCGACGAUCCGUAACUGGUCUGAGAGGAUGAUCAGUCACACUGGAACUGAGACACGGUCCAGACUCCUACGGGAGGCAGCAGUGGGGAAUAUUGGACAAUGGGCGAAAGCCUGAUCCAGCCAUGCCGCGUGUGUGAAGAAGGUCUUCGGAUUGUAAAGCACUUUAAGUUGGGAGGAAGGGCAGUAAGUUAAUACCUUGCUGUNUUGACGUUACCAACAGAAUAAGCACCGGCUAACUUCGUGCCAGCAGCCGCGGUAAUACGAAGGGUGNCAGCGUUUAUCGGAAUUACUGGGCGUAAAGCGCGCGUAGGUGGUU
rnacentral:rRNA from 1 species